UAGAGCUCACAAGAGUACAGGAAAAGUAUAUUAGCUUAAAAGAAAAGUUUCUUGCUUUAAAGCAGUCGACUAGAGACAUAUCUAUUCAUUGAAAACUAGGAAUCGUUCAAUUAAUUUAAAGGUGCUAUCUGUGGCCUCCAUUUGGCUUGUUCAACUGCACAACAAACGCAAAUGCUGGACUUCUGCUGGCCGAAACGCUUGGAAAAACUUGCUGGGCUGUGUGGCAGUAAUUAUGCCGGCAGCUCAAUGCCUCUGGUCAAAGGGAUGAGGAGAAAAACACCUGCGGCGGCGCUUCGUGCUCUAAGAAAAAACAGAAAGAGAUCAUAUACAAAGAUUCCUUAAUCUUUCUGAAAGGUACUCAGUCUUCCGCACAAUGGUUACUGCCAGCAUAUCCGAAGCCGAGUGAGCUGAUCAAGCGAAAGGAUAAACUCAUCCAGGACACCGCAUCGGCGCCCAUGAAGGAAUCUGAAAGAUCUUCAAAAUUUGAUGAUAUUCUCAUUGAGCCACCGCUUGAGGAAUAUGGCGGUAGAUUUACAUAUAUUCUAUAUUUAUAGACAAUAUAGGCGAUCAUUAGUGUUGGAUCAGGGUCGAAUUUAUUGAAAAAAGCCCAUCGAAUUGGCUAUCACCUCUUCACCUCUUUUAAUUUGAUUUAAAUCAUCCUGAUCGUUAUCCUCGACGCGAACUUUGAUUAGCGUAGUGGUCACUGAAAAAAUGUUCUUUCAUUAUGUAGAGCUGUUCUAUAAAUAGCGAAGCCUGUUCAGUUAUUCAGUCAUUGAUAAGCAACAGAAGAACUUCAAUUAUUAUUAAAAUU
rnacentral:sRNA from 1 species